rnacentral:tRNA from 1 species
AAAUAAGAAGUAAAAUAUUACAUUUAGUUUCGACCUAAAAAUUUGGUAUACUUAAUACCCUUAUUUA